rnacentral:lncRNA from 1 species
AAGAUUAUAUUCUCUUCUUUAUUAUAUUGGUUUGUGAAUUAACUAACAUGCAACAAAAAAGAAGUAUAUGAAGGUAAGAAGUAUUUCAUUCUCAAGUUUCUUUUCAUUUUUGUGUAUUUUGGACGUGUUUUUUUUAAAUUUUAUUUAUGUAUGUAUUACCAUUCUUCAAGCAAAUAUGAUAAAUAAUAUUUUUAUAAUAAUGAUUAAUCUGUCGCCAGUAUGUGAUUGUGCUCUCAAACAGUCACUUUGUGAUUGACACUAACUUUAUAAUUAUAUAAUAUAGUUUGAUUACAAUAUUUGAAUAGAUUUAAAGAGAUGAUUAUUUAUUUGUAUAAUUGAAGAAUGAUUUGCACACACACACACAUAUAUAUUAUAGUUUUAGAUUUCUUUUUUUUUUAAAUCACAAUUUUUUAAUUGGUAGGAUAUUUAGUUUAUUCAUUAUUAUUCAAUUGGUAGCGCAUAUGAUGAAGAGUUUGACAUAUGGAGCAAAAUAUGGUGGUGGAUCUACUUGUAAAGAAAGAUAGUAGAAGAAAAUCUUUUGAAGCAUAAUUAUUAAUUAGGAAUUACUUUUGCUAGAUUUUUUUAGUUACAAGGAAGCAAAUAUAGAAUGAAAAUAGGUUGAGAGUAAAUGAAUAGAAGAGAGAAAGUUGAAAGUUGAUAAUUGCACGGCUUUGAGUUAGGUACUACUAUUAAUUCUACCUCACAUGGACUAAACAAUUUUACACAUAAUAGUACUAUUCCAUAAUAACUCUCACCCACCCCAAAUAUUUUUUUUCGAUGAAAAAAUAAAGGUAUAAUAUAUAAAUAUAUUAUUUUAUUUGAUUUCAGUAGACAUUUAUAUCAUUUAAUUUUGGAUGUGCAUAAGUAGAUAUUUAAAUUUGUAUAAAAUUGAACAAGUAGACGUACACGUUCUACUUGGCAUAAAAUUUAUUUGUUCAGUUUUAUAUAAAUUUAAAUAUCUACCUGUACACACUAAAAAUUGAACAAUAUAUAUGUUAGUUGAAACCAAGUUGAAAGACAUGUUUAGGUAUUAAAAGGUACUAGUAAACAGGGAGGCACUAAAAGUUGUGGUAGAAUAGUAAUUAGCCCUUCUUCUUUAACCAAAUAUUUCGAGUUCAAGUAGCAUGCCUUUUAUAGGAUAUAUUUUACCCGUGUGAAUUCAGAUACCGAAUAUCAGGUGUGAAACCCAAAAGAUAUUUCCACAGCUUUGAGGUACUACUAUUAACUCUCCCUCACAUGGACCUGUAUUAUUUUGAAAACGACUAAACACCAAACCCAUGUUUGCCUUUUAACACCAACGGCUAAUUUAAUUACAUGUUAAAAAUUGAGGCACUUGAAUUUGUAGUUUCUACAUAAAAUUAGUUAUUUUUUUAUUCAUUUUUUAAAAAAAUUGAUAUAAUAUUAUAUACUAACGAUAUUGUUAUAAGAAUACUAAAUACUAUAUUUGGUUGGAUGUUGAAUUAUUUAACCAAAAGAUUAGGGAUUAAUUUCCACUUACUAUACUUUCUUUCUUAUUUUUUAUUUUAGUGGUGUACUCGUGUUUUAAAAUGAAAUAUCUAGGAACAGGUCUGCCAUCAAUUGUUGACUUGAUUCCAUCCCCCUAAUACUACUCCAUUACUCUCAUCCACCUCCACAUUUUUUAUUUUUUUUAGAAUAGAUGAUAAAAACAAAAAAAGUACUAGUACAAGAGGCGGCCUUAUCAAUAAAAGUUGUAGUAAAAUGAUAUUACUACUUCUUUUUUCUUUAAUAAAAUGUCUCGAGUUCAAGUAAAUUACCUUUGAUAGGAAGUGUUUUAUCUCUGAAGUGGGAC